ACCACUUACUGUUGAUUGUGAUGAAAUGCCAGCUGAGGCACACGCCUUGGGAGCUAAGUGGUUGCUGCCCUUGACUACUAUGAAGACUGGUGUGGGAAGGGUCGCUUUGGAUGCACUUGAGCAGGGGUCCCCAACCCCUGAGCCAUGGAGCCGUAAGGAGCCACACAGCAGGUGGGACCAUCCAGUUUCAGGAAAACAAGCUUAACACGCCCACUGAUUCUACAUUAUGCUCCUACCUCCCGGCAGCCUCGCCAGGCCCAGAACUCUCUCCAGUCAGCCUCUACAGACCAAGCUCAUGACUCACAAUGGCCUAUUUAGGCCCAUACCCUACCUCACGGCAGUCUCCGCAGAUGAGCCUACUGCCUCACAACAGCCUCCACAGGCACAGCUCCAUCGUUACAAUGGCCUCUUUAGACCCAGCUCCUGCCUCCCAGCCUUCUCUCCAGGCCCUGAACUUUCUCCGUGGGACCAUCCAGUUUCAGGAAAACAAGCUUAACACGCCCACUGAUUCUACAUUAUGCUCCUACCUCCCGGCAGCCUCGCCAGGCCCAGAACUCUCUCCAGUCAGCCUCUACAGACCAAGCUCAUGACUCACAAUGGCCUAUUUAGGCCCAUACCCUACCUCACGGCAGUCUCCGCAGAUGAGCCUACUGCCUCACAACAGCCUCCACAGGCACAGCUCCAUCGUUACAAUGGCCUCUUUAGACCCAGCUCCUGCCUCCCAGCCUUCUCUCCAGGCCCUGAACUUUCUCCGUAAGUUGAGGUAGCUGGGACUGUAGGUAUACAUGACGAUACUUGGCUAAUUUUUAAAUUGUUUUGCAGACAUGGGGUCUCACUUUGUUGGCCAGGCUGGUGUCAAACUAAUGGCCUCAAGUGACCCUUCCACCCCUGCCUCCCAUCCUCGAGGUAUGUGCCACCACAAGGGGCACUUGUUCAAUUUUCUAAAGAAAAAAUUUCUAAAGUAAGGCUGUGGGAUGAUGGCAGGAAGAUAAAAGAAAAACAGAAGAAUAAGUUAAAAUGACUUAUUCACACAUAUUCUUUUGACAGCAAGAAGAACUGUUAGUAUAUACAUUCCUUACAAACAAACAAACGGCAGAUAAACAAUGUUGUAUAGGAACUUCAACACACACUGUACAAUAUUCCCACUUUGCUGACAUAAGUUAUGGAAAUUUCGUGGUUUCCUUGAGUGUCGCUACCAGUAUUUUGCUCCUCUGACGAUUUUUAUCAACUUCCUCAUCUGUUAACUUCUCUCCAAGGUAUGUCAUGUCACGACAUGCUGCCGCUGCACGAACACGGCCAGUGUCUUCCUAUUAAACAUGUAGAAUGCUUUCC